CUAUACUUCACUGCUCAAUUAUUGAUUUACAGCAGGCUUAUAAAAGUAUCGAAACUGGAUUGUUCAGAAGAAUUUGGAAAACAACUGAUGUAGAGAGGUGGCCUGCUGCUCCUUGAGAGGCUCUCCUGGGUGUCCCGUUCAGCCCUGGCACCCUGUGUUCCUCUCUUUAGAUCCGGGCCUGUGCCAUCUGCCUCUGUCACUGCCGCUGCUGGGCACUGGGAGUCAGUGUGCAUGAGGCAGCCCUCUUCUGCUGCAAGAAGUCAACACACGCUGUGGCCGCUGCAGCUUUUCAGCCGAUGAACAGAGAGCCAUGCCCCCAACCCACACCAUUGUUGUUAUGUUGUGCUGAUCGGGAUGCUCAAGCAAACAUGUUUUCACAACACCACAAAUACUUUUCAGACACAGUUGCAUUCUCUCAACAAAAAAGCUUGCCACUCUGGAUUCAAACAAAACUUGCUAAAAAUUUUUGUUCACAAUAACAGCCGACCGGUAAAAGUUACUAACAGGUCGAUGUACUAGUGCAGAAAGGUAAUGAAACUGGGUUCACCUCGGCACUCUCACUUGGGAGGGUCCUCUUCGUCUGCUGUCUGCACAGAUGAGAGCUUUAGGCUAAAUCUCUGCUCCGGAGGGUGACACUCUUCAGCUCUUUGCCACUAUAAUGGCAGGACUCAAGCCAGAUAAUGAUGCUGACAGCCCAACUGUCAGUCUGCCUCUUCCUGCAGCAGCCCCUUAAGAGCUCAACGUGGGACACUGGCCAUGAAUCCGUGAGACUGCUGCAUUUUCAAAAGUCAUUAAUCUAAACAAAG
ensembl:lncRNA